rnacentral:rRNA from 1 species
ACGGGAGGCAGCAGUGGGGAAUAUUGCACAAUGGGGGAAACCCUGAUGCAGCAACGCCGCGUGAAGGAAGAAGGCCUUUGGGUCGUAAACUUCUGUUCUAAGGGAAGAUAGUGACGGUACCUUAGGAGAAAGUUCCGGCUAACUACGUGCCAGCAGCCGCGGUAAUACGUAGGGGGCAAGCGUUAUCCGGAAUUAUUGGGCGUAAAGGGUACGUAGGUGGUUUCUUAAGCGCAGGGUAUAAGGCAAUGGCUUAACCAUUGUUCGCCUUGCGAACUGGGGGACUUGAGUGCAGGAGAGGAAAGCGGAAUUCCUAGUGUAGCGGUGAAAUGCGUAGAUAUUAGGAGGAACACCAGUGGCGAAGGCGGCUUUCUGGACUGUAACUGACACUGAGGUACGAAAGCGUGGGGAGCAAACAGGAUUAGAUACCCUGGUA